AUGGGAGAGAGGGACAAGACAAGGUGUCCAGCGCUCCUUCACGUGGAAGCCCCAAAGCAGGGAAGGAGGAGGUUGCAAUGCUUGGCAAAGGCAGGCUGCAGGGACAGCUUGAUGCAACACGGCCUACGAACCGCUGGGGAAGCAGCGGGGAGCUGCACGGCCCUAACUUUGGGAAAAAGAACAGGAGCUUUUGCAGUCCCCCAUCCCUCCUGGUGGCUUCAGGAGGAAGCCUGGCAGAGGCCUGGCACUGAACACCACAUCCUCACCUCUAAGGACAGUAAUGCUACAGGGAGAACCUCCUGGGGUUGAGCAAGCACAGACCUGCCCACGUAUCGGACCUGGGGCCAGGCCCUGAGCUGCCUAGGCCACCGCUGGGGAAGCAAUUCCAGUCCACGCCUGGAAGGGGAAGGGGGUUAGACGAUUUCUGCUCUAAUAACCAGCUGCAACCGUGCUGAGAUGCUACCUGGACCUCAGCUAAAGGAGAACAUCUAAAUUAGGGACCAUUUCUCUCAGCUCUGUUGUUCUCCCCAAAGCAAUGGGGCCUUGCCAGAGAUCCUGCAGGCAGAGAGAGACCAUCAGAGCCUUUGCAGUCUGCCUGCGUCACUGCCUGAGUUGCUGUGAGACUGAGAAACUAUCGACAGUUGCUUUUGUCCAGGAGGCCAAACAGAGACAACAGCUGGCUCUUCUGCUUUUCUUCUUAAAACAUCCAACAUGUAAACUAGUUUAAAAGAACAUUUUCACCUAUUGCUUUUGAUCUUCCCUGCAUCAAGUCCCUGCUAUCAGGGAUGAACCGGGGGGGAGCCCUGCAUGCUUGCAAGUAUUGUUGGGGCACUUAGGUGCCAUCUUAGAAGCACCCAGGUCACUCCCAAGCCUUGACCCCUACAUAUGAGCUUGCUGGAGACACACUGGAAGCUCAGCAGCAAGGGGAAGGACAGCUUGUCCUAGCCUGCAAAAAGGAAUUGCCUUCCCCAGCAAUCACGAUGACUUUACCACUCUCCACCCCACCACAGCUCCUGCCCUGGAAGGCUGCAAGUCUUCCCUUGGCUCUGGGAGCCUGAUUGGUCACAGCCCCGCUGUCCCCUGUGUCACCACUACACACACUGGCCAGGGGCUCCCUGAGGUCUGGGCAAGGUCUGACACUUGUGGCUUCUCCCUUUUCCAGCUAUUGCAGAACUGGGAUGCCAGCACUCACCAGAGAGAUCGCCUGGGUCAUAGCAACUGGUAUCUCCCUGAUCCCAACUCCUUCUUAAGCCUGCUGCUCCCACCGCACCUCUGAGACAGCCUCUCUCCCCCAGCUCUGGCUUCUUCC
rnacentral:lncRNA from 1 species